CCAAUAGCGUAUAUUAAAGUUGUUGCAGUUAAAAAGCUCGUAGUUGAAUUUCGGGAUCAAUUUACUGGUCGUGCAAUAGUACGUACUGGUUUUAUUGGUUUCUACCUUCUGAUGAACCAUGAUGCCAUUAAUUUGGUGUCAUGGGGAAUCAGGACUGUUACUUUGAAAAAAUUAGAGUGUUUAAAGCAGGCUCACGCUUGAAUACAUUAGCAUGGAAUAAUGAAAUAGGACGUUUGAUUCUAUUUUGUUGGUUUCUAGGAUCGACGUAAUGAUUAAUAGGGAUAGUUGGGGGCAUUAGUAUUCAAUUGUCAGAGGUGAAAUUCUUGGAUUUAUUGAAGACUAACUACUGCGAAAGCAUUUGCCAAGGAUGUUUUCAUUAAUCAAGAACGAAAGUUAGGGGAUCGAAGACGAUCAGAUACCGUCGUAGUCUUAACCAUAAACUAUGCCGACUAGGGAUCGGAUGAUGUUAAUUUUUUAAUGACUCAUUCGGCGCCUUACG
rnacentral:rRNA from 1 species